ACAUAAGGGGAGUAAGGGAUAGGAAUUCAGUGUAGCAACGGAUAACAAGGCAUAAACAUACUACUUUAAAAAAAGUUGAAUUUUACAAAGACAAUAAAGUGGACAUGGAUAUGAAAUCUUGUAAAUGAACACAUUGGGGUGAUACUAGAAUCCAAAUUGGGACAUACCAGUUUUAAAAAAAGACAAGCAAAAGAAGGCAGUAGUCUUGUGAAAAGCCAGAGUGCAGACAAGAAAGACGAGAUUGUGAGAAUUGUAAGGUGAAGUCUGAAGUGUAUUCAAUUAUGUUGGGAAAAGAAAAAGAGUCGUG
rnacentral:lncRNA from 1 species